GGAUACCAUUAGGAACACCUAAUCACCAACAUUAAACUCCAACUCCAUUUGCCUCACAUUCGCGUAGGUCUUUUGGUGACUUUGGACAGAUUUAAGCCUAUCCCAAAUCACCUUCACCUUCUCCAUCGCUUAGUGAACCGAAACCGGGCCAAACAUCCUAACUUCACAAACAUCAAACAACACGAUGGGAGACCUACACCUCCUAUCAUUAAUUUCUCAAAAGGA
rnacentral:lncRNA from 1 species